CCUGGCUCAGGACGAACGCUGGCGGCGCGCCUAACACAUGCAAGUCGAACGAGAGAUGAGGAGCUUGCUCUUCAGAUCGAGUGGCGAACGGGUGAGUAACGCGUGAGGAACCUGCCUCAGAGAGGGGGACAACAGUUGGAAACGACUGCUAAUACCGCAUAAGCCCACGGCUCGGCAUCGAGCAGAGGGAAAAGGAGCAAUCCGCUUUGAGAUGGCCUCGCGUCCGAUUAGCUGGUUGGUGAGGUAACGGCCCACCAAGGCGACGAUCGGUAGCCGGACUGAGAGGUUGAACGGCCACAUUGGGACUGAGACACGGCCCAGACUCCUACGGGAGGCAGCAGUGGGGAAUAUUGCACAAUGGGGGAAACCCUGAUGCAGCGACGCCGCGUGGAGGAAGAAGGUCUUCGGAUUGUAAACUCCUGUUGUUGAGGAAGAUAAUGACGGUACUCAACAAGGAAGUGACGGCUAACUACGUGCCAGCAGCCGCGGUAAAACGUAGGUCACAAGCGUUGUCCGGAAUUACUGGGUGUAAAGGGAGCGCAGGCGGGAGAACAAGUUGGAAGUGAAAUCCAUGGGCUCAACCCAUGAACUGCUUUCAAAACUGUUUUUCUUGAGUAGUGCAGAGGUAGGCGGAAUUCCCGGUGUAGCGGUGGAAUGCGUAGAUAUCGGGAGGAACACCAGUGGCGAAGGCGGCCUACUGGGCACCAACUGACGCUGAGGCUCGAAAGUGUGGGUAGCAAACAGGAUUAGAUACCCUGGUAGUCCACACCGUAAACGAUGAUUACUAGGUGUUGGAGGAUUGACCCCUUCAGUGCCGCAGUUAACACAAUAAGUAAUCCACCUGGGGAGUACGACCGCAAGGUUGAAACUCAAAGGAAUUGACGGGGGCCCGCACAAGCAGUGGAGUAUGUGGUUUAAUUCGACGCAACGCGAAGAACCUUACCAAGUCUUGACAUCCCUUGACGAACAUAGAAAUAUGUUUUCUCUUCGGAGCAAGGAGACAGGUGGUGCAUGGUUGUCGUCAGCUCGUGUCGUGAGAUGUUGGGUUAAGUCCCGCAACGAGCGCAACCCUUAUGGUCAGUUACUACGCAAGAGGACUCUGGCCAGACUGCCGUUGACAAAACGGAGGAAGGUGGGGAUGACGUCAAAUCAUCAUGCCCUUUAUGACUUGGGCUACACACGUACUACAAUGGCGUUAAACAAAGAGAAGCAAGACCGCGAGGUGGAGCAAAACUCAGAAACAACGUCCCAGUUCGGACUGCAGGCUGCAACUCGCCUGCACGAAGUCGGAAUUGCUAGUAAUCGUGGAUCAGCAUGCCACGGUGAAUACGUUCCCGGGCCUUGUACACACCGCCC
rnacentral:rRNA from 1 species